ensembl:lncRNA
CUGCCAAUGCAGGAGACCUAAGAGACGUGGAUUCGAUCUCUGGGUCGGGAAGAUCCCCUGGAGGAGGGCCUGGGAAUCCACUCUGGUAUUCUUGCCUGGAGAAUCCCAUGGACAGAGGAGCCUGGCAGGCUACAGUCCAUAGGGUCGCAAGGAGCUGGACACAACUGAAGUGACUUAGCAGGCAGGCAGCUGAUGGCAGUGACUUACACAGGCACAUGCUCUGGUCUGUGCCUUUUGUACCCCCAGUUUUUACAGAAAUAAGUACCCAAGGCACCAAGCAAGCGGACUCGCCACUGGAGCUGUUUCUCCUCCCCAGUGAUGAAGAAUGCGGAGGUAGCAAGGUGUCUCUGAGCGGAGCAGGGUGACCCUUCCCAAGACUGAUGGCAAAGAAUUAAAACUCUCUGUACUAGAGGUUAGAACUGCUGAGGUCAAACUCUAUUAAACUCUCCAAGAAAAUAAAAUAUGGGAUAGGUAAUCCUAAAUGGACUUCGUUUUUUAUCCAUUAAGGGCAAGGUGAGUGAUAAAGGUCUUAAAUUGUCUUCAGAAGCACUGAGUUUAAGUAUCGAUCAUAAUGGGAGGCGUGACAACAUUUAAAUCUGUUCAGUUAAGCACCAGGGCUGACAGGUUCACACCGUGUCAUACUGCUCGGACUUACAUUUUGAUUCAAAGCACUUGCAGGAGUCCUUCCUUUAGGUCAGGCAUAGGACUCCAGAGUUUCAGCUUCGGCCACCGUAUAAGUCACAGCGCAUCACUGCUGGAGUGAGGUUCCAGAACUGACACUGUUUAGGAUGCUGUGGUCACUAAAAUGUCUCCAUGUUUAUCUCAUUUAAGCCUCAUGACAACUCUGUGAGGUAGUGACUCCUGUCUCUCUCUCUCUCUCUCUCUCUCUCUCUCACACACACACACACACACACACACACACACACACUUCCUGCACAGAAAAGGAGACGGAAGCAUGCCUUGCCCUCUAGCACCCAGUCGCAAACAGUCGAGCCAGGAUUUGAACUGAGGGACAUGAACCCCAUGCUUGCAUGCGUGCUAGGUCGCUUCAGUCAUGUCCAACUCUUUGCGACCCUACGGAC